rnacentral:rRNA from 1 species
UGGGGAAUAUUGCACAAUGGGCGCAAGCCUGAUGCAGCCAUGCCGCGUGUGUGAAGAAGGCCUUCGGGUUGUAAAGCACUUUCAGCGGGGAGGAAGGCGAUAAGGUUAAUAACCUUGUCGUUUGACGUUACCCGCAGAAGAAGCACCGGCUAACUCCGUGCCAGCAGCCGCGGUAAUACGGAGGGUGCAAGCGUUAAUCGGAAUUACUGGGCGUAAAGCGCACGCAGGCGGUCUGUCAAGUCGGAUGUGAAAUCCCCGGGCUCAACCUGGGAACUGCAUUCGAAACUGGCAGGCUAGAGUCUUGUAGAGGGGGGUAGAAUUCCAGGUGUAGCGGUGAAAUGCGUAGAGAUCUGGAGGAAUACCGGUGGCGAAGGCGGCCCCCUGGACAAAGACUGACGCUCAGGUGCGAAAGCGUGGGGAGCAAACAGG